rnacentral:tRNA from 2 species
GGAGAGGUGGCCGAGUGGUUGAUGGCUCCGGUCUUGAAAACCGGCGUACCCGAAAGGGUACCGGGGGUUCGAAUCCCUCCCUCUCCGCCA